rnacentral:lncRNA from 1 species
AUUCAUUUCUACUAUUAUUCCAGUAUUUUUAUCCAAGAAUUCUCUUCUUCACAAAGAGGUCCACAAAUUCCAACUUUGUGUUUACAGCUUUUUUUGUCUCUUCGAUCUUUACCAGUAGUUUUCUUCCAACCAUACACCUCCUUGCCGGAAGCUACAGAUCAGAACCGAAACUUGAGGCAACCGACGAGUGUUCAUAGUCCGAUUUUAUUGCCGUUUUUGGUUUUGGGACCGAAGCAAAGCAACCCUACCGCCUUGGGUAUGCUACUUUUGUUAUUUUUCCAUUAAAAUAAUGUAGUUUCAUUUAUUCAUCUUAUUAGUUUCUUAUCAAGAGGCACUUGUUCGUUAAAUUUUUGUUAUUUUUCUUGGUUUUUGUUUAAUUUUUUCGCAGGAGCAGGCCUUUAUAUGGGAUAAAGAAGGUAACUCCUUUUCAUUUCUUUUUCUUGUUUGAAGUAUGUCUCUAAUACUUUGUGUUGCUUAUUAUACACUCGAGUAGAAAAGGGCUUUUUUGUGUUGGGGUGGGGAUGGUUGUGGGCAAAGAUUUCUUAUCCCAAAAAUAAUUUUUGGGUAAUGCUAAUAAUAGAGAGCAAUUGAAAUUUGUUGAAAAUUGAUCAAUAAGGGUAUGAAUCAUAUUAGCAUUACUGCCUAUUAUCACCAUAUCAUCAACGUAAAACAGCAAAUAGAUGACACCAUGAGAGCCAUUAUAAACAAAUAGGAAUGAGUCAGCCUGACUAGCAACAAAGUCAAGGCUGAACAAAGAGAAGCUGAACCUUUGAAACCAUGCCCUUGGAGCCUGUUUAAGAUCAUAGAGAGCUCGCUGCAUGCGACAUACAUGAGUGGGUAUUGUCGUAUUGAGAAUUAACAUAACCUGGAGGUUGUUCUUUUUUCUUCUUUUGAAAGAUGGCCAUGCAAGAUAACAUUUUUAAUGUCAAGCUGGUGAAGAUGCCAAUUGUGCAUAGCAGUAGAAGAAAGGAUUAUUUGAACUGUGGCACGACGAACAAUCGGACUGAAAAUCUUUUCAAAGUUGAUGUCAUGUUUUUGAUAAAAUCUCUGUGCUACUGGACGAGCUUUAUGAUGUUCUAUAGUACCAUCUGCAUGAAAUUUAAUUUUAAAAAUCCAAUGACAACCCACAACAUUAUGAAUAGAAGGUCAAGGUACCAGUCGCCAAGUGUUAUUUUGCCUGAGAGCUACUAUUUCAUUAUCUAUUGUAGUAAGCCAUUCCUGAUGUUUUAAGGCUGAUUUAAAAUCCCGUAGCUCUUUAAUAGCAAGAUGUAUCUGAAACCAUGGAGGAGAUGACAAAGUAAUUAAGGAAUGAAUAUUAACAAGCUUAACAAUAUCAUUCCUUAUAUGAGUAAUCAUAGGAUGUGGAGUUGGUGGCGAUAUAAUGAGGAAGAAUUAAGUGGAAUGACAUCUGAAGCAGUCAGAGACUCGGACGGAGGAACGUCAGAUGCUGCUGAAGGAUGCACAGAAUCGAGAAGAAGAUAAAACGUACAAUCAUGGUUAGCACAUGGGAUACACUGAGAAAAUGCCUUGUGAUACUUCGAAGUCAUAUCUGGGGGUGCAUUUUGUGCACAAUACAAAGAAUGAUUAAUAGGAUCAAAAAAAGGGGACACAAUUAGUGAAAACAUGAGAUGGAAGAGUGGAGUAUUUGUAAGGAAAAUGAUCCUUAAAAAAUUGCACAUGACGAGGGAUAUAAAUAUGGUAAGAUUUUGUAUCUAAACAAUGAGAACAUUUUGCAGUGAACUGUAGCCUAAAAAUACGCAUGGGAAAGUAGAGAGUUGUGAGGAAUAUAGUCACGAAGAAAAGGAAAACAUAAAUAUCCAAAAGUUUGGAGAGAGGAGUAAGAAUGAACUUUAUCAUACAAUACUUCAUGAGGUGUCUUGCCACCAAGAAUCGGUGAUGGGAGCCGAUUGAUGAGAUAACAAGCUGUAGAGAAAGACUCAACCCACAAUUUUAAAGGAACAUGAGAAUGAAAGAGCAAGAUGAGUCUGGUUUCACUGAUAUGCCUAUGUUUACGCUCGGCAAUGCCAUUUUCCUUUGGGUGUAAGGAUAACAUAUGCGUUGAACUAUAUCACAUCAUGAAGAUAAGAAGUGAAUUUGUUAUUUGUGAACUCUAUUCCAUAAUUACAUUAGAAUGAUUUUAUGCUCCUAUCAAAUUGGUUUUUGACACAAAUGACAAAACGAACAAAAAUAUCAAAGAAAUAUGAUUUGAACUUGAGAGAAAAAUGUUGGAUAAUUUAGUUCUUUAAAUUACCGGAUCUUUCAUGUCAAAUCAUCAAGAAAUAUAAGAAUUAAAGCGGAAGCAUACCUGAAUCAGAUAUGGUUAAUGCAAUAGGAAUUUCGCGGUAUGGUCUUCCAAAUCUACACGCAGUCUCAUUUUCCUCUCUGUGAUGGGAUGCAGUAGAGAAUGAAUAAUACGUUGCCUGUGAUCUGGGGACCAUAACCUAUUUAUAUAGGGAUAUCCUUUGACCUAAUUUGGCCAUCAUAGAAUUAGGAUUUGGGCCCAGUCUCUACACAUAUGUAAAUCCAUACUUUAAUUGGAUACAUUAAAGCCAAAAAUCGAAGCCUUUUUUAGAUCACUUUAAUUGGGCUCAACCGAAUUCGAUAGCCUAUAAUUUAACACACAAUUAUUCACACAUACAAGUCCAUAUUUAAUUAAAAAUCCUUACAAUCUCCCACUUGGGCUGGUGGAUCUCCUUCUAUCUUGGCAUCCUGCGAAAUCGAAAUCAGAAUAACCAAUGAUCUCCAACUUAUCUGAUCUCCUGUAUGUGAGCAUGUAGUCUUUUGUUCUCUGUAAAUACCGCAUGACCCGUUAGGCUGCUUUCCAAUGAUCCAUUCCCGGGUUACUUAAAUAUCUCCCUAGCAUCCCAACGAUGUACGCUAUAUUCAGACGCGUACAAACUUGAGCAUACAUCAGACUCCCUAUAGCUGAGGAAUAAGGAAUCUUCUGCAUUUCUUUAAUUUCUGAGUCAUUUUUAGGGCACUGACUUAAGCUGAACUUGUCUCCUUUAGCCACAGGAGUGUCACAUGGUUUACAAUUUUGCAUGCUAUAUCUUUGAAGUACCUUUUCGAUACAGCUCUUUUGUGAUAACCCAAGAAUGCCUUGAGAACGAUCUUGGUGUAUCUGAAUUCCUAAUACAAAAGAGGCAUCACCAAGAUCUUUCAUCUCAAAAUUCUUUGCUAGAAAUCUCUUGGUUUCAUGCAAUAUGCCAUCGACAUAUAAAACCAGAAAAAUAUAUUUGCUCCCACUGAACUUGUGGUAUAUACAAUCAUCAACCAAAUUCAUCUCAAAAUCAAAUAAGAUGAUCACAUGAUGAAACUUGUAAUACCAUUGACGAGAUGCAUGUUUGAGUCCAUAGAUGGAUUUCUUUAAUUUACAAACCAUUUGCUUUGCAUCGUCCGAUACAAAGUUUUCUGGUUUACCAUAUAAAUUGUUUCAUCAAUGUCACCAUUGAGAAACGCUGUCUUAACAUCCAUCUGAUGUAACUCAAGAUCGAAAUGCGCUACCAAUGCCAUUAUAGUCCUGAAAGAGUCUUUCGAAGAAAUCGGAGAGAAAGUCUCGUUAUAAUCGAUGCCUUCUUUCUGUGUAAAGCCUUUUGCGACAAGACGAGCUUUAUACCUCUCUACAUCACCUUUCGAAUCCCUCUUGGUCUUAAAUAUCCAUUUGCAACCAAUGGGUUUCGCACCUUCAGGCAAUGGAACGAGGUCCCAUACGUCAUUGUUCUUCAUGGACUUUAUCUCUUCAUUCAUAGUAUCGAGCCACUUUUGAGAGUUAGAACUUUCCAUGGCUUGACGGAAGUUGAUCGGAUCAUCUUCCACCAUUCCAACGUCAAUUUCAUGUUCUUGAAGAAAUACGAUGUAAUCAUUCGAAACUGCACUUCUCCUCUCUCUAAUGGAUCUUCUUAAUGGCAUUGGUUCUUGAGGGUGUAGAGUUUGUUCUUCUGGAACAAUUUGUUGAUCUUGGAAGGGAGGUAUGACAUUGUCUUAGUCCAGAGUUGUUUCUUGAACAAUAUUAGGGAUAGAAACCUGAUCAUUGUCAAUGACAAUUGGAGGAAUUUCAACAUAUUCCUCCUCAAAGAAAAAGCCUGUAACCUUUUCUCCCCCCGCAAACUCAAUAUCCUAAAAAAACCUAGCAUUUCCUAUCUUGAAAAUUGCCUUAGUUGUGGGAUCAUAAAAUUUGUAACCCCUGGACCUUUCAAAAUAUCCAAUGAAAUAGCAACUGAUGGUCCUUGUGUCCAGUUUCUUUUCAUUUGGCUUAUAGGGCCUUGCCUCAGUUGGACACCCCCAAAUAUGUAUAUGCUUCAAACUAGGCUUCUUGCCCGUCCAAAACUCAUAUGGGGUUUUAUCAGUGGCCUUAGUUGGAACUCUAUUGAGUAUAUAAGUUGCAGUCUUUAAUGCUUCACCCCAGAGAGAUUCUGGUAAGGUAGAAUGACUAGUCAUACUCCUCACCAUGUCCUUAAGCGUUCCGUUUCGUCUUUCAGCAACACCAUUCAUAGUGGGCGAACUCGGCAUAGUGUACUGUGGGACGAUACAACAUUCCUCUAGGAAUUUAGCAAACGGUCCUGGACGCUAUUCACCUGAACCGUUAUAUCUGCCAUAGUAUUCACCCCCACGGUCAGAUCUGACGCUUUUAAGCCUUUUGCCGAGUUGGUUCUCAACUUCAGCUUUAUAGUUUUUGAACACAUCCAGUUACUGUGAUUUUUCAUGAACGAGAUAUAUGUAGCCAUAUCUUGAAAAGUCGUCUAUGAACGUUAUAAAAUAUUGUUGACCAUUCCAAGAACUCGUAGGGACUGGUCCACAAAUAUCCGUAUGUAUAAGUUCUAAGACGUCCGAAAUCCUAUUGGCUUGAAAUCUCAUUUUAUUGGUUUGUUUUCCCUUUAUACAGUUGACACACAAAUCAUAAUAUGUGAAGUCAAGAGGGACGAGAAUCCCGUCAAACACAAGUCUCUCAAUUCUCCUUUUGGAGAUGUGACCUAAUCUCUUGUGUCACAACGAGGCAGAAUUCUCGUCGUUUAAUUUUCGCUUCACACCUCGAGUACUUACAUGCAAGGUUUCAUUAUAAGAAACAAUUGUAUCAAUUGAAUAAAGAUUAUCGUAACCUGAUAAAGAACUGGAACCAACCAAUUUUGAAUCAUGAAACAAACUAAAUUUUUCAUUUCCAAAAGAAUAAGUAUAACCAAAUUUGUCUAAAACAAAAAUAGAAAUCAAAUUCUGUCUAAAAGACGAUACAAUAAAUGUCUCAACAAGAUCCAAAUAAAAUCCAUUCUUUAACAAUAAUCUAAAUUUUCCUAUUGCCUCUACUUUCAUUCUAUUGCCGUCACCAGCAUAGAUGUAUCUUUCACCAUCACUUGAUUUUCGGCAACUCAGGCAAUCUUGCAUAGACAUACUGAUGUGAGUUAUUGCACCAGAAUCUAUCCACCGUGUAUGUCUAGGUACCGAAGUUAAAUUAACCUCAGAACAAACCAAAUGAAGAAGAGUACCUUUCUUUACACGCCAUGCGUGGUAAUUGGUGCAAUUCUUCUUCUUAUGACCUGCAGCUCCACAGAAGAAACAACCGCCUUCAGUUGGUUCCUUAUACUGUUUCUUUUGUGGUGUCGUACCCGCAGCUUCCUUAUUAAUCUUCAUUUUCUUGUUGCUUUUAUCCUUAGAGGUGGUGGCUAAAUAAACACUUUCUGUCUUUUCAUGCUUCAGUCUUUCUUCUUUCUGGACACAGUGUGAGAUGAGCUCAUUAAGGGACCAUGAGUCCUUUUGACAGUUAUAGCUCACCUUGAAUUGACUGAAAUUUGCCGGAAGGGAUACCAGAACCAAGUGCACCAACAAGUCUUCAGAUAAAUUUAACUUGAGUGCCUUUAGUUUUGAAGCAAUGUGAGACAUUUCCAUAAUGUACUCCCGAAUGUUUCCUUUCCCUUUAUACCUCAUUGAGACAAGAUUUGCCAAAAGUGUACUUGUUUUAGCCUUUUCAUUCUUGGCAAACCUCUUCUCAAGGUCCUCAAAGAAACCCUUAGCCGUAGUCACCUUAUCGGACAUAGUGCCCCGGAAUACUUCUCGAAUAGCACGCUUCAUGACCAUUAAGCUUAUGCGGUUCGAUCGUUCCCACUUUUUCAUCUCCCGCUUGUCAUCAGAGGUACUCUUAUCAGUAAGUGCAGUAGGUUGAUCGACCCGUAAAGUAAGGUCUAGGUCCAUGACUCCGAGACCAAUCAUAACGUUCUCUUGCCAUGCCCUGAACUUUGUGCCAUUUAACAUUAGAAUAGAAUUGAUGCUAGCAGAGAUAUUAAUAGCAGAACCUGAAAUUGAAUUAGAGAACAUUUAUUAUGAAUAGCUCACAUAAUAUCUUUAAUAUGCAAAUAAUAAUAAUCUCAAAUAGUGGUAGGGCCCAUCACAAGAUACCAAGCACAACAUCAAUAUCCAGUCUUUGGAUAAAAAAAUUGACUUGUAAGCGGCACUCUUGGUGUAGUGAUCAAACAUUGACGAUAAAACAAUGUGUCAAUCAAUAAACCUUUCUUUGGACCGAUUUAUUGAUGACACAUUAAACCAAAUAAUCGUCACACGUUUAUCACCACAGGUGCACGUGUAUUCGGCUAAAUAUUGACCUUUCUUUGGGCCGAUCAAUAUUCCGAUGAAUAACACAUGCACAAACACUUUUUAACAUUCUAAGUUAGUCAAUUUUCACAAGAGAGGUUGCUUUGGCAACAUGCUGCUUCAAUUAACUAACUUUCGAAUAUUAUAUCUCUUAAAAGAGUUUUUAGUACCAAAAUUUGAGCAAGAGAAUCACCAAUUUUGCAUAUUUUGAUUAGUUUUAAACUUUAGGGGCCUUAGGAUUAAUAAUUCAAAACUUUAGGGGGGCAAAAUUAAUUAAUUCCAAACUUUAGGGGUUGAAAUUAAUGAACUUGAAACUUUAGGGACCAAAAUUAAUUAAUUCAAUACUUUAGAGGAUCAAUUAAAACAAAUUUUAAAACUUUAGGGGCCAAAAUUGACCAAUUCAAAACUUGAGGGAUCAAAUUUUAAAAAUUUGAAACUUUAGGGGUCAAUUUGAAUUAAUUAUGAACUUAGGGGGCAAAUUUGAACUAGUAAUUAAAGUUUGAGGGCUUUAAUUAUAAAUUCAGAACUUUAAUGGUCCGAAUUAAUUAAUUUUAAAUCUUAGGGACUGAAUUAUUAAAUCUGAAACUUAAAGGCCCAAAUCUCAAUAUAACUUAAAGGUUAGGGACUGAAACCUUAAAUUUAUAACCCUAACCCUAAUUGCAACCAGGGGCCUCAACUUAUCUAAUUUACAGAAGAGGCCCUCGUCCCAAAAUUCAGCCAAAAAACCAGAAAACCCUAAAAGAAAAAUUUUUCUUCUUUUUGGCGCCCGUCGGCGUCGCCUGAAGCAAUGGCGCCGGCGUGGGCGCCACAGCAUCUGUGGCGGCAAGGCCGUCGGCGAAUUCAAUUUUUUUUUUUUAAAUCUGUACUAAAAUCUGAAUUCCAAAUCUGAAUUUUCUAAACUGAAUCAAUCCGAAUGAAAAUAACAAAAUUAUACCGCAAAAAUUUUCAAAUUUAACAAAACAUAUAAUCAAAAAUUGUUAAAUCUGAAAAUUUCAAAAUAUAUUGCAAGAACCAAACUAAGCAUACCUGAAUCAGACAUGGUUAAUGCAAUAGGAAUGUCGCGGAAUGGUCUUCCAAAUCUACACGCAGUCUCCUUUUCUUCUCUGUGAUGGGAUGCAGUAGAAAAUGAAUAAUACGUUGCCUGUGAUUUGGAGACCAAAACCUAUUUAUAUAGGGAUUCCCUUUGACCUAAUUCGGCCCAUCAUAGAAUUAGGAUUUGGGCCCGGUCUCUACACAUAUGUAAACUCAUACUUUAAUUGGAUACAUUAAAGCCAAAAAUCGAAGCCUUUUUUAGAUCACUUUAAUUGGGUUCAACCGAAUUCGAUAGCCUAUAAUUUAACACAUACCUGAAUCAGACAUGGUUAAUACAAUAGGAAUUUCGCGAAAUGGUCUUCCAAAUCUACACGCAGUCUCCUUUUCUUCUCUGUGAUGGGAUGCAGUAGAAAAUGAAUAAUACGUUGCCUGUGAUCUGGAGACCAAAACUUAUUUAUAUAGGGAUGCCCUUUGACCUAAUUCGGCCCAUCAUAGAAUUAGGAUUUGGGCUCGGUCUCUACACAUAUGUAAACCCAUACUUUAAUUGGAUACAUUAAAGCCAAAAAUCGAAGCCUUUUUUAGAUCACUUUAAUUGGGUUCAACCGAAUUCGAUAGCCUAUAAUUUAACGCACAAUUAUUCACACAUACAAGUCCAUAUUUAAUUAAAAAUCCUUACAAAAAAAUCCAACUAAAAUGAGAGAUCAUCAAUCAAGACAUAAUAACAUUUAAAUCUUGACGGAGAUGUAAUUGUAGACGAACCCCACAAGUCAUGAUGAUGUCUUUCAAAUAAAAAAGAGCAAUGUUAAUCUAAAUUAGAAAAAACCAAAACAAGGAUCAAUAUUAAACUCGUUCUUAUUAGAAAAUAAAAUAGCACCAUGCUUAUGUAAAGAUGACAAAAUCCUAAUAGAAGGAAGUCCUAAACGUGCAUGCCAAAUGACAGAGGUGGCACAAUUAUAACAAAGAGCAGCAGAAGACAAAAAGUUUGCAUGGGCAUGAUCAAGCACAUGGAGGCCUUUUUCACAUCAAUCUUCCCACCACCGCUCUUUUUGCCAGAGCCUGUAUAACAAAGCCAGUAGAAGAAAGUGUUAUUGGAAAAUUGUUCUCUUGAGUAAACUUAAUGAUGAAAAUAAGAUUUUUGGUAAUGCCAGGAACAAGAAGAACAUUAGUCAUAGGUAACGAAUGGGAAGCAACAAUAGACCAAAUAGACUCAACAAGAGAUAUAGGUAAAGAAUGACCAUUACCAACAAACACCUUUUCAAUACCAUUGUAAGGAAUGGAGGAGUCAAAAGUCGAUGCAGCAUUAGUCAUAUGUGAUGUUGACCCUUUACCUGUGUACCACUAGUGUCGAGAGAGUCUGUAAGAGAGGUCUCUGAAAAAGCUUCAAUGGGACCACCAUCUUUAGCCUUUUUAGCAACUUACCAAGUUUAUAACAUUUCUUGGCUGUGUGAUUAUCUUUUCGACACCAUUGACAUGCAACAGCAGCAGAUUUGGAAGAGUUGCAACGGUCCACUUUGGGAGAGGUGUAAUGUUUGUUUCGACUAGAAGAAAUGGUGGAAGAGCCACGGUUAGAAAUGAGGGCAAAUUGCUGUUGAGCUUCACCAUGAAUGGAUUGAGAGAAGAGCUCAUGGCUAAGUGCUUGCGGGGACCAUGUUGGCGAAGGAAGGCAGUGGACGUUGUGACAGUAUAGUGGUGGAAAAAAAUUUAAAAUCAGGGCUAAGAUCCCCAAGAAACCAAUGUACUAUAACUAUAUCAUCAAGAAACUUUCCAAUGGCAAUAAAUUUAUCACAGAGAAAACGAAAAGAGUGAGUAUAUUCAGUCACACUACGAGAGCCAUGCUGGAGCAAUUGAAGUUUGUCUAGCUGAAUCUCACGUGUCUUGGAGCUGUGAGAAUAUGACGUUUCGAGGGUCAACCAAGCAUAACUGGAAAUAGCACAAUUGACAAUCUCGGCCAUACAGUCCUCGGACAUGGGAAGCAUAAAUGAGGCUAAGCAGCAUACGAUCUUGAGUACGCCAUUUCUUGUAGGCCUGAUUUGGAACCUAGCCAAUACCUUCGAUAAUAACAGGGGAAGGUGUAAUGGAUGAUCCGUCUAAAAAAUCUUAGGGACUGAAUUAUUAAAUCUGAAACUUAAAGGCCCAAAUCUCAAUAUAACUUAAAGGUUAGGGACUGAAACCUUAAAUUUAUAACCCUAACCCUAAUUGCAACCAGGGGCCUCAACUUAUCUAAUUUACAGAAGAGGCCCUCGUCCCAAAAUUCAGCCAAAAAACCAGAAAACCCUAAAAGAAAAAUUUUUCUUCUUUUUGGCGCCCGUCGGCGCCGCCUGAAGCAAUGGCGCCGGCGUGGGCGCCGCAGCAUCUGUGGCGGCAAGGUCGUCGGCGAAUUCAAUUUUUUUUUUUUUUUAAAUCUGUACUAAAAUCUGAAUUCCAAAUCUGAAUUUUCUAAACUGAAUCAAUCCGAAUGAAAAUAACAAAAUUAUACCGCAAAAAUUUUCAAAUUUAACAAAACAUAUAAUCAAAAAUUGUUAAAUCUGAAAAUUUCAAAAUAUAUUGCAAGAACCAAACUAAAACCUUUAAUUCUCAAUGAUUCAACAUGAAGAGGCUCUGAUACCACUUGUUGGAUAAUUUAGUUCUUUAAAUUACCAGAUCUUUCAUGUUAAAUCAUCAAGAAAUAUAAGAAUUAAAACGGAAACAUACCUGAAUCAGACAUGGUUAAUACAAUAGGAAUUUCGCGAAAUGGUCUUCCAAAUCUACACGCAGUCUCCUUUUCUUCUCUGUGAUGGGAUGCAGUAGAAAAUGAAUAAUACGUUGCCUGUGAUCUGGAGACCAAAACUUAUUUAUAUAGGGAUGCCCUUUGACCUAAUUCGGCCCAUCAUAGAAUUAGGAUUUGGGCUCGGUCUCUACACAUAUGUAAACCCAUACUUUAAUUGGAUACAUUAAAGCCAAAAAUCGAAGCCUUUUUUAGAUCACUUUAAUUGGGUUCAACCGAAUUCGAUAGCCUAUAAUUUAACGCACAAUUAUUCACACAUACAAGUCCAUAUUUAAUUAAAAAUCCUUACAAAAAAAUCCAACUAAAAUGAGAGAUCAUCAAUCAAGACAUAAUAACAUUUAAAUCUUGACGGAGAUGUAAUUGUAGACGAACCCCACAAGUCAUGAUGAUGUCUUUCAAAUAAAAAAGAGCAAUGUCAAUCUAAAUUAGAAAAAACCAAAACAAGGAUCAAUAUUAAACUCGUUCUUAUUAGAAAAUAAAAUAGCACCAUGCUUAUGUAAAGAUGACAAAAUCCUAAUAGAAGGAAGUCCUAAACGUGCAUGCCAAAUGACAGAGGUGGCACAAUUAUAACAAAGAGCAGCAGAAGACAAAAAGUUUGCAUGGGCAUGAUCAAGCACAUGGAGGCCUUUUUCACAUCAAUCGAUUCCCACCACCGCUCUUUUUGCCAGAGCCUGUAUAACAAAGCCAGUAGAAGAAAAUGUUAUUGGAAAAUUGUUCUCUUGAGUAAACUUAAUGAUGAAAAUAAGAUUUUUGGUAAUGCCAGGAACAAGAAGAACAUUAGUCAUAGGUAACGAAUGGGAAGCAACAAUAGACCAAAUAGAAUCAACAAGAGAUAUAGGUAAAGAAUGACCAUUACCAACAAACACCUUUUCAAUACCAUUGUAAGGAAUGGAGGAGUCAAAAGUCGAUGCAGCAUUAGUCAUAUGUGAUGUUGACCCUUUACCUGUGUACCACUAGUGUCGAGAGAGUGUGUAAGAGAGGUCUCUGAAAAAGCUUCAAUGGGACCACCAUCUUUAGCCUUUUUAGCAACUUACCAAGUUUAUAACAUUUCUUGGCUGUGUGAUUAUCUUUUCGACACCAUUGACAUGCAACAGCAGCAGAUUUGGAAGAGUUACAACGGUCCACUUUGGGAGAGAUGUAAUGUUUGUUUCGACUAGAAGAAAUGGUGGAAGAGCCACGGUUAGAAAUGAGGGCAAAUUGCUGUUGAGCUUCACCAUGAAUGGAUUGAGAGAAGAGCUCAUGGCUAAGUGCUUGCGGGGACCAUGUUGGCGAAGGAAGGCAGUGGACGUUGUGACAGUAUAGUGGUGGAAAAAAAUUUAAAAUCAGGGCUAAGAUCCCCAAGAAACCAAUGUACUAUAACUAUAUCAUCAAGAAACUUUCCAAUGGCAAUAAAUUUAUCACAGAGAAAACGAAAAGAGUGAGUAUAUUCAGUCACACUACGAGAGCCAUGCUGGAGCAAUUGAAGUUUGUCUAGCUGAAUCUCACGUGUCUUGGAGCUGUGAGAAUAUGACGUUUCGAGGGUCAACCAAGCAUAACUGGAAAUAGCACAAUUGACAAUCUCGGCCAUACAGUCCUCGGACAUGGGAAGCAUAAAUGAGGCUAAGCAACAUACGAUCUUGAGUACGCCAUUUCUUGUAGGCCUGAUUUGGAACCUAGCCAAUACCUUCGAUAAUAACAGGAGAAGGUGUAAUGGAUGAUCCGUCUAAGAAGCCCACAAGAUCUUGGCUUUCAAGAAGGGAAACAAACUGAUUGCGCCACAAAAGAAAAUUGGACGUAGUGAGUUUGAUGGUCACUAUAUGGAUCGUCGUAUUGAGUGGAAGCAUACUAGAACUAGAGCUAGAAUCAGCCAUGGAAAAAAAAAAAAAAAAGGUGUGAACCAUGGAGCACUGAUACAAUGAAAAAGAAUCUCUCAAUGUUAUUAAUGAAUACAUAGGUAGUGUAUUUAUACAUAAAAUACAGUAUGCAUCACUUUGAGCUCCAAUUUCCCACUGGAGCAUCACUUUUGGCAAAUAAAUAUAUAAUUUCGAUAUUCUCACGAAGGAGAGGCAAAUCAAUCUUGACCUUCAAAAAAAAAAAAACAAAUGUAUCCCACUCAAAAUUUAUGUCAAAAUCAGUCCUUCAAUCCAUUUUUUCCAACAUCAACCAUCCAAUCUUCACUAUGUUCAUAGACAAGCAGUUAACUGUGUUUGCCUCUAAUAUAUCCUUCUGUGCAUCGGGAAGCGUAAAAAAGGACCACUUGCCAAUGCAAAACUAAAGAAAAUGGAAAGAAGAAGUUGUCUUAAUAAUAAUAAGUUGUGUGUUUAAUUCACUCGUAAAUGAGUAUUAAUUAUUUUUUCUAAAAAUUGUAAAAGAAAUAGUAUACAUUAUUUUUUAACAUUAGAAUCUAACUCGGCAAUUUUCGUUGUACGAGAUUCCUGAGAAAUAGGAUCAAUUUGAUCAAACAAUUUAUUGAUAAAAGCAAUAAAACCAACUUUGCCAUAACCCUUUCCAAACAAGAAAGGUUAAAUGCAACAUGAUAUUAAGGCAAUAAGAGUAAUCAAAGUUCGUCAUGCGAAUCUAAUUGAUCAGAAAAUGAAGGAAAUUCGAUUUCAGAACCACAUCUUUCAUGUGGGAAAACUGGACAUUUAAUGAAAUUGGAUGCUGAGGUAUUGACACACAGGUAAACUUGGAAUAGCUGAUUAUUCCCUGAUGAAUCCACAUUGCAUUCUAUGGACGGA